ACGCAGACGUCGCGGGCCAAGGUUGCGUUCGAGAUUGCUGGCUACAGCCAUCUUAAGGGCCUAGGUAGAGGCAAAUGUCUCCAUUCUUCGGCAUUCUCCAUCGGCGGCUACAAAUGGUGCAUCCGCUACUACCCCGACGGAAGCGCAGACGAGGGGAGCGAAGGCUACGUCUCUGUCUUCCUCGUGCUCAUGACCAACAACGCCGAUGUGAAGGCGCUCUACAACUUGAUGCUUCUGAAUCAGGUUAGUGGGCAGUCGUUUGUGGUGCUCCCCGGCAAAGCGCCACGAGUGUUCAGCCGUGAAUGUUCAUGUUGGGGCUCUCGAAAGUUCAUGAAGACCACCGCUGAAGUAGAGUUGCUGUACCUGAGGAAGGAUUGUCUAUUGAUCGAGUGUGAAGUCAGUGUUAUCAAGGAAGAACUCGAUAUCCUUGUUCCGCCCUCUGACCUUUCGGAUCAUCUUGCAACCUUGCUAGAGGGGAAGAUAGGAGCAGACGUGACUUUCAAGGUUCAAGGGGAGGUCUUUGCCGCUCAUAAAAAUUUGCUUGCGAUGCGAUCGGCGGUCUUCAACGCGGAGUUCUAUGGUACGAUUGGGGACAAAGGACAUAAUAUUGACGACAUGCAGCCUGCUGUUUUCAAGGCAUUUCUUCACUUCAUCUACACUGAUUCAAUGCCUUUCAUGGACGAUCUUGAUGAUGAUGACAAAAGAGAAAUGGUCAAGCACUUACUCGUGGCUGCAGAUAAGUAUGCAAUGGAAAGGAUGAAGAGGAUAUGUGAAGGGAUGCUAUGCAAGAGUCUUGAUGUUGAGACUGUGGCGACCAUAUUAGCUCUAGCUGACCAGCACAAUUGCAGGAACCUCAAAGAUGCUUGCAUUGAAUUUAUGCUCUCUUCGAAUAGAAUGGACGAUGUGAUCGCAAGCCAAGGGUAUGCUCACCUCAAAAGAUCUCGUCCUGUUCUCAUUGUAGAUGUGUUUGAAAGAACUGUUAAGUCCCGCAAAAUUUAG
rnacentral:rRNA from 1 species